CCUGUUUGCCAGGUAAUCAGUCAACACACGUGGACUGCUUGUGCAUCGUCAGUAAAGCCUUUUUUUUGCAGGCACUGGUUUGUGCAAGACAGGGAGAUGGUGAGGGAGCACCCAGCUCUUAGAAAUGGAGAAGUCAGGAAGGACAGAAAUAGAAGCCCCAAAGAACUCCAGACGUAAACAUCUCUGCACUGGCUUGUUCACCUGUGUGACCAUGCACAGCAGAGGCAACAGUUCCACGCUCAUCCGGCCGAGGUUCUAGAGCCAGGGUCCUCCCCCUGCCUUAGCAGGCCUUUAUAUGGAACACAUGGUCUCUCCAGUACUGAGUCGAAUCAACACGGAGCUUUGCCGCCAUCCCCUACCCACCCUAGACAUCCCCCCUGCCCUGGGAAGCAGAAGGGGCUCCCUGGCCUAGAGGCCCCACGGAAGCGCGCCUCUUGAUAAUCCCACCUUACGGCCAUUUUCUUCGAGGUGCCGGACACAGGGAUGGAGCUCUCCUUGACGCUCCGGACCAGACCACUGGACCACCUCACUGGAUCCCACGGGCAGCAGAAGCCAGUGCUCCCAGAGUUGUGCAAGGAGUUUGAGGAAAUAAUACACGAACACGUCCUGGAAAGCAUAAAGGCAGCUGGGAGGUAUAUUCUUACCGGGCCUCCCAGGGAUCCCUCCAACCCAGGCCUGGCUCCGUGACAGACGCUCUGUGGGGUCUCAGUGGGAGGGUGGCUGGUCACUCUCUGUGAUCUCAAACACUUCUGAAUAGAUCACCCUGACCUAUAACUAACUCCCCCUUAAGAUCUUAAGUACACGGAUGGAAACAAGAAUUCCAGGCCUACGAAUGCCACUGCUGACCAUUCAAAGAAAUCCAGGAAAUGUAUGUAAUUCUCUUCCCAAAGCCCCGGGUCAUAAGCCAGAACUGAUGUUCCUCUAUCACUGUAAUCGAAUAAUCUUAGGACACUGGGAGGAUACUUCUCUGGCAGGUGAUAAACUCUGAAAAACUGGCCUCCUAAAGCCAGAGGCUUACGAUUCUCCCAGGCAUUCAUGUUUUCCCUCCCUUAACCUACUUUAUUAAAAACCCAGUAGUUCAGGGAUGGAAUUCAGAGCUACCACUGGGCUGGCCUUUGUUUGGAGGACUGGAUGGUUCUCCUCUACACGGGCAGUUUGAAUUCCACUGAGGUUGAGUGUAGUUCUGUCUCACCACCCGGCUAAGUUUAUUAAUGGGCUCUCAGGGCUCGGGGUCUGCUGUUUGGGACUGUUUUUUCCUCCUUAGUGUAAAGUCAGCAGUCCCGAUGAAAGAGACUGAAGAAUGUCUGUGGUAUGGAAUGUUUUUAUGAAAAGCAUUAGGUGGGCUUACUUGGGGAUGGAAACAGGCUGUAAAAAUGCUAAAAAGCCUUUCUGAAAGUAAAGCAGUUGUAUCUGUAGAGAUUUGAACUUUCUCUGCAUUCUGCUAAAGCUUAAUUUCUGGAGAUACUUUCUGGUGACUCCUUUCCUCCUUCUCUUAAGGUCUGAUUCAGCCCAGACUCAGGCUUGUGUCCCUACAAGGAAAAUGAAGUUAAAUCUUCAGACAAUUUUUCUGAAAGUCGAGACCUGCCAACACUCCCCCCUCACUGAAGACAAAAAAAUAUGUUUGGGGAUUUUCUGAGUUGACUUUCUACGUGGAUGUUAAAAUUGUCCACACUUGCUACAAAGAACCUGCAUUUUGCUUUUGCUUCAUUAUCUCCAAUCAGAAACCAUGUCAUAUC